rnacentral:rRNA from 1 species
UACGUAGGUGGCAAGCGUUGUCCGGAAUUACUGGGUGUAAAGGGAGCGCAGGCGGGAAGCCAAGUCAGCUGUGAAAACUACGGGCUUAACUUGUAGACUGCAGUUGAAGCUGGUUUUCUUGAGUGAAGUAGAGGUUGGCGGAAUUCCGAGUGUAGCGGUGAAAUGCGUAGAUAUUCGGAGGAACACCGGUGGCGAAGGCGGCCAACUGGGCUUUAACUGACGCUGAGGCUCGAAAGUGUGGGGAGCAAACAGG